UACGGAGGAUGCAAGCGUUAUCCGGAUUUAUUGGGCGUAAAGCGUCCGCAGGUGGUUUUCCAAGUCUGCUGUUAAAGCGCGAGGCUUAACCUCGUACAGACAGUGGAAACUGGAUGACUAGAGUAUGGUAGGGGUAGCGGGAAUUCCCAGUGUAGCGGUGAAAUGCGUAGAUAUUGGGAAGAACACCAGCGGCGAAAGCGCGCUACUGGGCCAUUACUGACACUCAUGGACGAAAGCUAGGGGAGCGAAAGGG
rnacentral:rRNA from 1 species